rnacentral:rRNA from 1 species
GGUGGUGCCUAUAGCGAAGAGGAAACACCCGUUCCCAUUCCGAACACGGAAGUUAAGCUCUUCUGCGGCGAUGAUACUGCCUUGCGGGAAAGUAGCACGGUGCCACUU